GUAGGUGGCAAGCGUUAUCCGGAAUGAUUGGGCGUAAAGGGUGCGUAGGCGGCAAAAUAAGUCUGAAGUAAAAGGCGUUGGCUCAACCAACGUAAGCUUUGGAAACUGUUAAGCUAGCGUGCAGGAGAGGUUAGUGGAAUUCCAUGUGUAGCGGUAAAAUGCGUAGAUAUAUGGAGGAACACCAGUGGCGAAGGCGGCUAACUGGCCUGUAACGGACGCUGAGGCACGAAAGCGUGGGGAGCAAAU
rnacentral:rRNA from 1 species